GGAGGCUGUCCCCCUCAGUCUGACAUCAGUCUUCUCUGGGACCAAGCUGGUGACACUGACCUGAUCUCUCUUCACCUGGUGAACCUGAACUCUGAGCUUCAGCGAUGGCUCUUCUGGAUUGCACCUUAGAAGCCGCUAUAAAUUGGCAUGACACCCACGCUAAAAAACUGUUUGACAAGCACGCUGUCGACGGCAAGUUGACCAAGGACCAGCUGAAUAAGCUCGUACAGGAGGACUCUAACAAUGAAAUGAUGAAAACGAAAAUGGCAGCAGGUGGCUGUGAGAGGAUGAAGCAAUGGAUGGAAAAGAACUGCAUCGACACGAUGGACUUUGAGGUCUUCUCUAGGUGGUUGAAUAUGGUGGCCUACACCAGAUACUGUAAGGCCAAAUGCCAACAAGGUGACAGCUGUGCACAAGCCUGCAAAUAAAACCUUUAAAGGAUUGCCAUCAAAAUCGAAUUGAACAAAAAUGUGCAAAUGUCAUAUGUGACACUGCCUACUGCUAAAUCCAUCUAAUUUGACUUUAAUAUUGUUUUUCAAAAUAAAAACUAUGAAGUUUGA